rnacentral:rRNA from 1 species
UGGGGAAUCUUGCGCAAUGGGCGAAAGCCUGACGCAGCGACGCCGCGUGAGUGAUGAAGGCCUUCGGGUUGUAAAGCUCUGUGGGGAGAGAAGAAUAAGUGUUGGCUAAUAUCCAGCAUGAUGACGGUAUCUCCUUAGCAAGCACCGGCUAACUCUGUGCCAGCAGCCGCGGUAAGACAGAGGGUGCAAACGUUGUUCGGAAUUACUGGGCGUAAAGCGUGUGUAGGCGGCUUUGCAAGUCGGAUGUGAAAGCCCCGGGCUCAACCCGGGAAGUGCACUCGAUACUGCAGGGCUUGAGUGUGGGAGAGGUUGGUGGAAUUCUCGGUGUAGAGGUGAAAUUCGUAGAUAUCGAGAGGAACACCGGCGGCGAAGGCGGCCAACUGGACCACUACUGACGCUGAGACACGAAAGCGUGGGGAGCAAACAG